rnacentral:rRNA from 1 species
GGUUAAGCGACUAAGCGUACACGGUGGAUGCCCUGGCAGUCAGAGGCGAUGAAGGACGUGCUAAUCUGCGAUAAGCGCCGGUAAGGUGAUAUGAACCGUUAUAACCGGCGAUUUCCGAAUGGGGAAACCCAGUGUGAUUCGUCACACUAUCAUUAACUGAAUCCAUAGGUUAAUGAGGCGAACCGGGGGAACUGAAACAUCUAAGUACCCCGAGGAAAAGAAAUCAACCGAGAUUCCCCCAGUAGCGGCGAGCGAACGGGGAGGAGCCCAGAGCCUGAAUCAGCAUGUGUGUUAGUGGAAGCGUCUGGAAAGGUGCGCGAUACAGGGUGACAGCCCCGUACACAAAAGCGCAUGUGCUGUGAGCUCGAUGAGUAGGGCGGGACACGUGGUAUCCUGUCUGAAUAUGGGGGGACCAUCCUCCAAGGCUAAAUACUCCUGACUGACCGAUAGUGAACCAGUACCGUGAGGGAAAGGCGAAAAGAACCCCGGCGAGGGGAGUGAAAAAGAACCUGAAACCGUGUACGUACAAGCAGUGGGAGCACAGGUUUACCUGUGUGACUGCGUACCUUUUGUAUAAUGGGUCAGCGACUUAUAUUCUGUAGCAAGGUUAACCGUAUAGGGGAGCCG